rnacentral:rRNA from 1 species
UACAGAGGGUGCAAGCGUUGUUCGGAAUUAUUGGGCGUAAAGGGCGCGUAGGCGGUUCGGCAAGUCUCUAGUGAAAUCUCAGGGCUCAACUCUGAGUCUGCUGGGGAAACUGCCGGGCUUGAGUGUGGGAGAGGAGAGUGGAAUUCCCGGUGUAGCGGUGAAAUGCGUAGAUAUCAGGAGGAACACCUGUGGCGAAAGCGGCUCACUGGACCACAACUGACGCUGAGGCGCGAAAGCUAGGGGAGCAAACAGG